rnacentral:rRNA from 1 species
AAGUCUACGGGGGGCAGCAGUGAGGAAUAUUGGUCAACGGGCGCAAGCCUGAACCAGCCAAGUCGCGUGAGGGAUGACGGUCCUAUGGAUUGUAAACCUCUUUUGUCGGGGAGCAAGGCCCGCCACGUGUGGCGGGAAGGAGAGUACCCGAAGAAAAAGCAUCGGCUAACUCCGUGCCAGCAGCCGCGGUAAUACGGAGGAUGCGGGCGCUAUCCGGAUUUAUUUGGUUUAAAGGGUG